CGGGACGGGUGAGUAACGCGUGGAGAACCUGCCGUAUACUGGGGGAUAACACUUAGAAAUAGGUGCUAAUACCGCAUAAGCGCACAGCUUCGCAUGAAGCAGUGUGAAAAACUCCGGUGGUAUACGAUGGAUCCGCGUCUGAUUAGCUGGUUGGCGGGGUAAAGGCCCACCAAGGCGACGAUCAGUAGCCGGCCUGAGAGGGUGAACGGCCACAUUGGGACUGAGACACGGCCCAAACUCCUACGGGAGGCAGCAG
rnacentral:rRNA from 1 species